GACGAACGCUGGCGGCGUGCUUAACACAUGCAAGUCGAGCGAGGCCCAUCCUUCGGGGUGGUGCCCUAGCGGCGAACGGGUGAGUAACACGUGGGCAACCUGCCCUAAGCUCUGGGAUAACUCCAAGAAAUUGGUGCUAAUACCGGAUGUGACCGCUGACCGCAUGGUCUGGUGGUGGAAAGAUUCAUCGGCUGAGGAUGGGCCCGCGGCCUAUCAGCUUGUUGGUGGGGUAAUGGCCCACCAAGGCGACGACGGGGAGCCGGCCUGAGAGGGUGACCGGCCACACUGGGACUGAGACACGGCCCAGACUCCUACGGGAGGCAGCAGUGGGGAAUAUUGCGCAAUGGGCUAAAGCCUGACGCAGCGACGCCGCGUGAGGGAUGACGGCCUUCGGGUUGUAAACCUCUUUCAGUAGGGACGAAGCGAAAGUGACGGUACCUACAGAAGAAGCACCGGCCAACUACGUG
rnacentral:rRNA from 1 species